rnacentral:rRNA from 1 species
UACGUAGGGGGCAAGCGUUGUCCGGAUUUAUUGGGCGUAAAGAGCGUGUAGGCGGCUUUGCAGGUCCGCUGUGAAAACUCGAGGCUCAACCUCGAGCUGUCGGUGGAAACCGUAAAGCUAGAGUCCGGAAGAGGAGAGUGGAAUUCCCGGUGUAGCGGUGAAAUGCGCAGAUAUCGGGAAGAACACCCGUGGCGAAGGCGGCUCUCUGGGACGGUACUGACGCUGAGGCGCGAAAGCGUGGGGAGCGAACAGG